AAAGGGAAGACCAUAAACGAGCAUGGGACAAAAGACAUUAUUGCCUCUAUUGUGGCAAAUCACAAUUAAAGAUAUUGAAGCAUUUGGAGAGAAAGCAUAUGGAGGUCAAAGAUGUGGCAUAUGCCUUCAGGUAACCAUUAAGUUCAAAAUGAAAGAAAGGUUCUUUUAGAACAGCUGUGCAAUAAAGAAGAUUUUAAACACAAUACCAAAGUUCUGGAAAAAGUCAGAGGACAAAUAGUGACAUGGAAGCAGCCAUCUGAUAAAGCUUCUGUUAAGGAUUACUUGCCUUGCCCAUAUUCUUUUGGAAUGUUCAGGAAAAAUGACCUGUGGAGACAUCAGUCCUCGUGCAAAUCUAAGAAGUCAUGUGUGCCCGAUGAAAAAAUAAAAACUAGAUAAGGGAGAGUACAAAGUCGUGCUGCUGCAUGCCUGCUUCCAAUAGUAGCUUCCUCAGAUGUCAGAGGAUCAACAUCAUGAGACAAGAUUAUGUGUCCUUUCACAUCAGGAGUGAUUCCUUGAUUUGGAAAUACAGCGAAUCACUUUUACAAAACAUGGUCAUGUGAAGUCCAAGCACCAGUACAUUGCACAAACAAUGAGGGAGCUUGGCUGAUUCAUGUUAGUAGCUAAAGAUAUGGACAAGAUUGUCAAUUAUCUUGAAGAUUAAAAUUUCAGCUUGUUGUCAAUGUUGCCAAGUGUCUUACACAGUUUAGUCCAGGCAAAAAUGAAUAUGGAAAACCUUCAACAGCAGUCAAAAUUGGAUUCUGUCUUAACGGGGCUGUGGAAGUUCUGAUUGGACAGACUCUUAUAAAUGAUGUGGCAGAGAAGAAAGCAAAAAAGCUCUGAACUUCUGGAGAAAAACUGGAACAACAGUGUUUCUAUCACCACUCACCAAAUCAUACAGGAAAAAAGCUGGAACAAAGAUGACAUUCCCCUCACCAAAAGUGUGACUGCUCUGAGAGACCAUCUCAGGAAGGUAGAAGAUGAAGCAAGAAGGGAACUGAUGCAACAGAUGAGUUUAGGUGCAUACAAGACAAUAAACGAGACUGUUCUGGCACAGGGCAUUAUCUUCAACAAGCGGCGUGAAGGGGAAGCAUCACGCUUGACUCUUGAGACCUACAGGAAAGCAAGCACAAGUGACAUUAAUGAGGACGUUUAUGAAACCUUGUCACCAUUAGAAAAGGAGCUAAGCAAGCUAUUAACCUGCAUAGAAAUCAGGGGGGAAACGAGGAAAGAAGGUUCCAGUUUUCUUGACUGAGAGAAUGAAGGAGUCAAUUGAUUUGUUGGUUCAAAGAAGAGAAGAAACUGAUUUACCUGCUGAUAAUAUCUCUCUUUGCAAGACCUGGUGUGAUGACGAACAUACGUGGAUGUGACCGUCUGAGAAAAUAUGCAGAAGAAAGCAAAGCAGAAAACGCUGAUCUCCUAAGGUCAACUAAAUGAAGAAAACAGGUUUUCACACUCUGCCAACUCUUGGACCUUAGUGAACAAGACCUGGAGCAAGUUGCAAGGUUUAUGGGGCACGACAUCAGUUCACUGUGACUUUUACAGACAGACCGACAAAACCUUUCAAAUCGCCAAGAUAAGUAAGCUUCUGUUUGCAAUGGAGCGAGGCACGGAGACCUUAAGGGGGAAGAACCUCAGCACUCUUGAUCCUUCUGUCUGUGAUGGAUGUUCUGAGCUCUUCAACCACAAAAAAAGACUAAAAAGGCAAGACUUACUUUACUCUUCACAUUAUUUUUAACGUAUGAGUGGCGUGGCAUAAAACGUGAGUGUGCGAGGCUUCUGGUGUCAUUCACUUCCAGCUGUUUUAGUUUCACAAAAACAGACCUUUAUGCUGCUUGAUAUUGCAAACUGGUGUUUACCAUCAUAGUAUUUAAUGUAUUAUUCUAAAUCAUAAACACUGGUUUAUAGUGCGAAUAGUUUUACCAUUUACUACAAUUUAUUAUUAUUCUAGCCUAGUUUUUUACCUAUAGUGGCUAAUGAUUUGGAAAUCUCACACAUUCAGAAAAUAGCUUACUUCCACGUUGCAUUAUAUCUAUAGAAAGGUCCUUUCUUUGGAAAGUAUACAGCGGUAUAAUUCAUUAACUAACAGUUAGUAAUGCUCGUCUGUUCCAGAUCACUGCCCAGGAGCAAGCCUGGUUAAGAGGUCCACACCGAAAAAAAAAGAGGAAAACAGACCAGGAGUGGGAACGCUCCAUAAGGACACUGCCAAGGUGAAUGUGAGGAGACCAUGGAGUGAAGCGGGGAGGAGUGCAGUACACAAACACUCGGGGAAGUACAUGGCAAUUCAAGUUUUAAUAUUUACUGAUAUUGUUUAAUAUAUUUAGAGGUGUACACACACACACACACACACACACACACACACACACCUCUUUUUAGUUGUAACUGAGCAUUUAUUUUCAUCAAUUUGACCUAUUAAUCUGACAUUAUUAACAAUCUAUUAUUUUCCUGGUCUAUAAGAUAAGAGCUGACAAGCACCUAAAACAAUUCUUUGAAGCCGAAGGUGUCUCGGUUCUCAAACUAAAAUAAAUGUAGAACUGGUCACUGAAAGUGGCAUCUUUUGCAGCUUUGUUAGAAGUUGCUGGACAAUGGUGUAUAUUGCUAUAUUGAUCUUCUAAUUAGAUCAAUAAUUGCACAGAACACUACAUGUACUUCAAUACAGUAGUCUGAUGGUCAUAAAUGUUUAGGUAAUCUGUUUAUGAAGCUCAAACUGUAACUUGCAUUAUUUGUCCACACUAAAAUAAAAAGAUAGCAAAGAAUAAAUGCAAGCAAAAAAUAAUAUUAAAAAAAAAAAAAAAAAGGUAGUUAAAAUAAUCCAGUGAGAA